GACGUAGGAGGCGAGCGUUGUCCGGACUCAUUGGGCGUAAAGAGCGCGCAGGCGGCUUGGUAAGUCGGAUGUGAAAUCCCGAGGCUCAACCUCGGGUCUGCAUCCGAUACUGCCCGGCUAGAGGUAGGUAGGGGAGAUCGGAAUUCCUGGUGUAGCGGUGAAAUGCGCAGAUAUCCGGAGGAACACCGGUGGCGAAGGCGGCUUCCUGGACCGACACUGACGCUGAGGCGCGAAAGCUAGGGGAGCAAACGGG
rnacentral:rRNA from 1 species